rnacentral:rRNA from 1 species
AAGUCGAACGGGGAUGCAGCAAAAGCUUGCUUUUAUUGCAUCCUAGUGGCGGACGGGUGAGUAACACGUGAGCAACCUGCCCGACAUACUGGGAUAACAGCGGGAAACCGUUGCUAAUACCGGAUACUCCAUUUCUGGCGCAUGUCAGAGAUGGGAAAGGGUUUACCGAUGUCGGAUGGGCUCGCGUCCCAUUAGCUGGUUGGUGAGGUAACGGCUCACCAAGGCUGCGAUGGGUAGCUGGUCUGAGAGGACGAUCAGCCACACUGGAACUGAGACACGGUCCAGACUCCUACGGGAGGCAGCAGUGAGGAAUAUUGGACAAUGGAUGGAAAUCUGAUCCAGCCAUGCCGCGUGCAGGAAGACGGCCUUAUGGGUUGUAAACUGCUUUUAUACGGGAGCAAUAAGGGUUACGAGUAAUCCGAUGAGAGUACUGUAUGAAUAAGGAUCGGCUAACUCCGUGCCAGCAGCCGCGGUAAUACGGAGGAUCCGAGCGUUAUCCGGAAUUAUUGGGUUUAAAGGGUGCGUAGGCGGCCAUUUAAGUCAGCGGUGAAAUUUUGCAGCUUAACUGUAACAGUGCCGUUGAUACUGUUUGGCUAGGAUUUGGUUGUAGUGUGCGGAAUGUGUGGUGUAGCGGUGAAAUGCUUAGAUAUCACACAGAACACCGAUUGCGAAGGCAGCACACUAAGUCAUUAUUGACGCUGAGGCACGAAAGUGUGGGGAUCAAACAGGAUUAGAUACCCUGGUAGUCCACACUGUAAACGAUGAUAACUCGCUGUCGGCGAUACACAGUCGGUGGCCAAGCGA